rnacentral:rRNA from 1 species
GGAAGGCGGGUGCUAUAAUGCAAGUCGAGCGGACCGACGGGAGCUUGCUCCCUUAGGUCAGCGGCGGACGGGUGAGUAACACGUGGGUAACCUGCCUGUAAGACUGGGAUAACUCCGGGAAACCGGGGCUAAUACCGGAUGCUUGAUUGAACCGCAUGGUUCCAUUCUUAAAGGGGGGUUUUAACUUCCCCUUUCCAAAUGGACCCCCGGCCCUUUACUUAUUUGGGGAGGUACCGCUCCCCCAGGGCAACAAGCCUAACCCAACCUGAAAGGGGAUCCGGCCCCCUGGGACCUGAACCCCGGCCAAAACUCUUCCGGAAGGAGCAGUAAGGGAUCUUUCCCCAUGGGACAAAGGCCGGACGAACACCGCCCCGUAGGUGAUGAAAGGUUUUCGGAUGGAAAAUUUGUUGUAGGGAGAACAAGUACCGUUCGAUAGGCGGACCUGACGGUACCUAACAGAAGCCCGCUACUACGUGCCGCAGCCGCGUAAUAUUAGGUGGCAGCGUUGUCCGGAUUAUUGGGCGUAAACGCGCCCAGGCGUUUCUUAGUCUGAUUGAAACCCCGGCUCACCGGGGAGGGUCAUUGAACUGGGGACUUGAUGCAAAGAGAAGUGAAUUCCCGUGUACGUGAAUGCUAAGAUGCGAAGACCAGUGCGAAGGCACUUCUGGCUGUA